AAGCAGUCCCGAUCUAUGCGAC
rnacentral:miRNA from 1 species